CCUCCAGACUCCUACGGGAGGCAGCAGUGGGGAAUAUUGCACAAUGGGGGAAACCCUGAUGCAGCGACGCCGCGUGAGCGAUGAAGUAUUUCGGUAUGUAAAGCUCUAUCAGCAGGGAAGAAGAUGACGGUACCUGACUAAGAAGCCCCGGCUAACUACGUGCCAGCAGCCGCGGUAAUACGUAGGGGGCAAGCGUUAUCCGGAUUUACUGGGUGUAAAGGGAGCGUAGACGGCGAUGCAAGCCAGAUGUGAAAGCCCGGGGCUCAACCCCGGGACUGCAUUUGGAACUGUGUGGCUGGAGUGUCGGAGAGGCAGGCGGAAUUCCUAGUGUAGCGGUGAAAUGCGUAGAUAUUAGGAGGAACACCAGUGGCGAAGGCGGCUUACUGGACUGUAACUGACGUUGAGGCUCGAAAGCGUGGGGAGCAAACAGGAUUAGAUACCCUGGUAA
rnacentral:rRNA from 1 species